rnacentral:rRNA from 1 species
CCAAGGAGUUUAGCGUGUGCGCGAGUCAUUGGGUGUAAAACCUAAAGGCGGAAUGAAAGUAAAGGGAACUUGCUUUCUGAGGGAGGAUGAGUCUGCUUGCCUUUACAGGCGGCGCUCCGCACUCCCGGGGCGUCUCUUUCUCAUUACGAGUGGAGGCGCACCUAUAGCGUACACGCUGAUACCCGAAAGAUGGUGAACUAUGCCUGGCCAGGACGAAGCCAGGGGAAACCCUGGUGGAGGUCCGCAGCGAUUCUGACGUGCAAAUCGAUCGUCGGAGCUGGGUAUAGGGGCGAAAGACCAAUCGAACCAUCUAGUAGCUGGUUCCCUCUGAAGUUUCCCUCAGG